UACGUAGGGGCCUAGCGUUGUCCGGAUUUAUUGGGCGUAAAGAGCUCGUAGGCGGUUCGGUAAGUCAGGUGUGAAAUCUCCACGCUCAACGUGGAGGCGCCACCUGAAACUGCCGUGACUCGAGUCCGGUAGGGGAGUGUGGAAUUCCCGGUGUAGCGGUGAAAUGCGCAGAUAUCGGGAGGAACACCUGUGGCGAAAGCGGCGCACUGGGCCACAACUGACGCUGAGGCGCGAAAGCUAGGGGAGCAAACAGG
rnacentral:rRNA from 1 species